GUGUGUGUGUGUUUAUUUACCAUCUACAUAUACUGUUGGUAAACUGCCUUAGGGGUUUGGGACCUAUUUUGUAGAAUUUGGUUUCUUAUUAUUUAUUUCACUUUGUUUUGGAUUUUAAGAGUUUCCCAUCAGCUUCUCCAGUUUAAAGAGCAACACUUGCUAUCAUUUGAUUACAGACAUGAGAAGAGCUGCUGGUUUCUGUUUGUUCAGCGUUUUAUAGGGCAGUAGGAGAAAGAUUUCAGAUUCUAGCACCUUUCCCUUGUUUAUGUCAUUGAUUGUCUUUCUGAUUUUCUUCCACAUCUCAUGCACAUUCUCCUUUUCUACUUCUAAUAUUUUACAUUUAUUUGAUGUUUGUUUUCUUCUUUGAUAUAUGGUAUUUCUAACAAAAUACCACUUUAGUUUUAGUCCACAUUUAUUCAAUGUUUUCUAAAUUUUUUAAAAUUCCAAUUCUGUUUUCCUUAGUCAAAUAAUUACUUCUAAUGCUUAUUAUUUGGUGUUUUAAAUGGUUUAAAUGUAGACUUCUUAUCUCCGGGAGGGGUAAGUAGCAGGGUGUCAUCUUUCCUCCUAUAGCAGCUAGGGAGACAGACAGAUGAAGAUGGCACAGUCAGGUCUGUAAAGUGUGAGGCACUGUGAGGGUUAAUGACUGAGAUGAACUAAAGUUCAAUAGAUAAUGUUAGGGUCCAGGAAUAGCCGCACAAGCCACUCAGGCACCAAUCUCAGUCAGGUAUGGAUGGCUUAUUGAACACACUCUAAGACUGACUAAUCAAGGAUGCAGCCAGGAAUUGGGAUCCAAAACUGCAACCCUGGGCAGUCCUCAGAACCAGGUUUUUAUAUGAGAAAAACAACAGAGAGGUGCCUUUGCAACAUAUAGACUAUAUAGACAAAGCAGUGCUGUCUGACCAUUAAGCUGAUAGGCCGGGUCUAGAGGCAAGGAGGCAGGACCAUCUCCAAAGCCCGUGAGGCCCCCUGACAAAGCACAAGCAGUUGUUUUUGCCAGAACAAGGAACAAUAGAGCAAGUCAAAGCUUUGAGCUACAAAUGAAGACUGAGGAAAUACGAGAGAGCUACUGCUAAGUUUUAAUAUUUAACAGAUAAGCCAGAUGCACCCAGGUGGGCAUGUGUCAUUGACACUUUCCUCUGUAGAAGCAGAUAUUAACCUAAGGCACCAACUAAAUAUCAGCUGUGGCUGUGGUGGUUUGAAUGAGAAAUGUUCCCCAUAGUCUCGGACAUUUGAGUAUUUUGUUCCCAGUCGAUGGUGCUAUUUGGGGAGGUUUUGGUCGUGCAACUUUGCUGAAGGAAGUAUGUCAUUGAGGGCAGGCUUUGGGAUUAAAAUCCACAAGCCACUUCCAGCUUGCCCUCUCCGCUUUGUUGAGGAUGGGGGAAUCUCAGCUUCCUGCUCCAGUUGCAUGCCUGCCACCUCUGAUGCAAUUCCCUGAAACCAUAAGCCCAAAUAAACUCUUCUGUAAGUCUCCUUGGGUAUGGUGUUUUCUCUCAGCAACAGAAAAACAACUAAUAUUGUGGCCUAUAGAUAGGACUAUGCCGGCUGAGAGAAACCUUAUGAACCUUUUGUAUGCUCUAUCUCGAUACAACACAUAGGAAGCUUGAGCAGCUCUGAGCAAUACUGGGGUAGCAUACAAGACCAACAGCGUGUGUUUGCUGUGGGCUAGAAGCAAAUGUUUCCAUGUUACUACAGUGGAAUUAUAUCAUAAAUGCCAUCCACAGCACAAUUGAAACCAGAGAUUGGUAGUGUCCAUUUAAAACUGAAACCCUGAGAGAGAGAGGGGAGAAUCAACCCGUCCUUGGUGUGGUGGCUCCUGUAUCUGAAGGCUUGGUUUUCAGUAGGUGACCUGCUAAGAUGGAUUAGGAGGUACUGAGCUUGUUGUAAGAGGUAUGUCACUGGGAGUGAGCUUUGAGAUUUCAGUGUGUAAAGCUCUCUACUACUGCCCCCGAUCCAUGCUCGCUGCCUCUGCACUCCUGGCUAUGGUGAUAAUGGACUCACCUCUGAAGCUCUAAGCCAGCCCUCAACGAAACAGUUUCCUUUAUAAGAGUUGCUUUGGUUAUGGUGUUUAAUCACAGAAAUAGAAACCCUAACUCAAGACACUUGGCCACUUAGUGACACAGAAAUUUGGAGGCCAGUCUAGGAUACCUGAGACCCUGUCUCAAAACAACAGAGCAUGACUGAGUUCAGUCUCUGAACUUGAACAACAGCGUAUUCUGUUGAGUAACAGAGGAAGGGUAAAGCUUUUCUGAAGGCAAAUAGCAUUAAUUGUCAGUCUUCAUGACUUAUUUUAUACACACAUUGUUCUUUAUACUGUAAAUUAUGUGUGGACAUGUAAGAGGAAAAAACAUACAGGCAAUGACC
rnacentral:lncRNA from 1 species